UGGGGAAUUUUGGACAAUGGGCGCAAGCCUGAUCCAGCCAUGCCGCGUGCGGGAAGAAGGCCUUCGGGUUGUAAACCGCUUUUGUCAGGGAAGAAAUCUUCUGAGUUAAUACCUCGGGAGGGUGACGGUACCUGAAGAAUAAGCACCGGCUAACUACGUGCCAGCAGCCGCGGUAAUACGUAGGGUGCAAGCGUUAAUCGGAAUUACUGGGCGUAAAGCGUGCGCAGGCGGUUUUGUAAGACAGAGGUGAAAUCCCCGGGCUCAACCUGGGAACUGCCUUUGUGACUGCAAGGCUUGAGUGCGGCAGAGGGGGAUGGAAUUCCGCGUGUAGCAGUGAAAUGCGUAGAUAUGCGGAGGAACACCGAUGGCGAAGGCAAUCCCCUGGGCCUGCACUGACGCUCAUGCACGAAAGCGUGGGGAGCAAAACAGGAUUAGAUAGCCCUGGUAGUCCACGCCCUAAAACGAUGUCAACUGGUUGUUGGGAAGGUUCCUUCUCGGUAACGUAGCUAACGCGUGAAGUUGACCGCCUGGGGGAGUACGGCCGCAAGGUU
rnacentral:rRNA from 1 species